UGAACGCUAGCGUACAGGCUUAACACAUGCAAGUCGAGGGGCAGCGUGUACAGAUGCUUGCAUCAGUAUGACGGCGACCGGCGCACGGGUGAGUAACGCGUAUCCAACCUGCCAUAUACUCGGGUACUAGACCCGGUGAAAACCGAAUUAACCCCCGAUAGUGUCCUUUGCAGGCAUCUAAUUAGGACUAAAGUUUACGGUAUAUGAUGGGGAUGCGUCUGAUUAGCUUGUUGGCGGGGUAACGGCCCACCAAGGCUACGAUCAGUAGGGGUUCUGAGAGGAAGGUCCCCCACAUUGGUACUGAGACACGGACCAAACUCCUACGGGAGGCAGCAGUGAGGAAUAUUGGUCAAUGGGCGUAAGCCUGAACCAGCCAAGUAGCGUGCAGGAUGACGGCCCUAUGGGUUGUAAACUGCUUUUGUCAGGGAACAAAGUGAGGGACGUGUCCCUUUUUGCGUGUACCUGUCGAAUAAGGACCGGCUAAUUCCGUGCC
rnacentral:rRNA from 1 species